GGUUCACAAGGGUUAAAAGGGAAACAGGUGUAAGUCCUGUGCGAUCUCGUCACUGUGAGAAGGGAGUGCGGUCAUCGAGAAAGAUUGCCACUGAUGUGAAAAGCAUUGGGAAGGUGAUGGCCGGAUGAGGAUCUUUGAGCCAGGAAACCUGCCAGUUAUU
rnacentral:ncRNA from 1 species